AUAUCAAUAAGCGGAGGAAAAGAAACUAACAAGGAUUCCCCUAGUAACUGCGAGUGAAGAGGGAAGAGCUCAAAUUUUAAAUCUGGCAGUCUUUGACUGUCCGAAUUGUAAAUUGGAGAAGUGUCAUCCGCGCUGGCCUGUGUAAAAGUCUCUUGGAAAAGAGCAUCAUAGAGGGUGACAAUCCCGUCUUUGGCACAGACUCCCAGUGCUUUGUGAUGCGCUCUCAAUGAGUCGAGUUGUUUGGGAAUGCAGCUCCAAAUGGGUGGUAAAUUCCAUCUAAAGCUAAAUAUUGGCGAGAGACCGAUAGCGCACAAGUACCGUGAGGGAAAGAUGAAAAGAACUUUGAAAAGAGAGUUAAACAGUAU
rnacentral:rRNA from 1 species